GGAUGUGAGGGCGAUCUGGCUGUGACACCUCUCACCCAUUGAUCGCAAGGGUUGAUUUGGCUGAUCUGGCUGGCUAAGCGGGUGUCCCCUUCCUCCCUCACCGCUCCAUGUGCAUCCCUCCCAAAGCUGUGUGCUUGGUCAAAGAGGACGACCAUCCCUGAUAGAGGAGGACCAUUCUUUGGUCAAGGGUAUACGAGUAGCUGCACUCCCCUGCUAGAACCUCCAAACAAGCUCUCAAGAAUGUAUUGAUAAAGAGGGUCAGAAUCAAAGUGAUUCUUUGACAAUAGAAGCUCUGGAACAUGACAAUAGCUAUAAAUG
rnacentral:snRNA from 1 species